rnacentral:lncRNA from 1 species
GAACGUUUGUUUGCAUCAUGUGCAUUUGACUUAGGGGACGCAACACAGGAGUUGAGUCUAUCUAGGGCAGGUGUAACCCAAAUAAACUAACCAUCCUGAUGCAUCAUAUGUGCUAUGUGAACAUUUAUUUGAUUCGGCCCGCAUGCUGACAUGCUAGGGAAAAUAAUCAAAAGAAAACCAAGAGUGAUGUAGGGAAGUAAAUAAAGCCCGAUUCUGAAACCCCCGGUAUUUGAAAAUAUCCUGAAACUAUGCCGAACAUUUUUCAAAAAAAAAAAGAGGAAAAAGAAAGAGUCUUUUCAAAAGAGUCAAUACUGUGUCUUAUUUCAAGUGUGUCAAAACUGACAGAACUACAUAGGUCUGAUUCUCACCGGAUGUGGGAUAUGUAGGCAACGUAUAUAAGGUUCGACCUUAUUUUUGAAACAAAAGAAAGAGAAGAGAGUAAAUGGUCAAAUAAAUGUAGUUUGGGGUUCGGUCAAAAUAACCCGGUCCAGCUUCGGUAAUGUCUUAAGACGUUCGUGCUGAAAUAGACUUAGAGUAUCUUCAGUUAUCGAAAGGCUAUUUUCGUAAAAGAACGUACAAGUCUGUCGGUAAAGUGUCAUUUUUCCAUAAAGAAGUUCUCCCCGGCCUCAAAAUUUAGAUUGAAUUGGGCCACGUUUGCAAAAAUAACCAUUUUCGCUAAAUUAGCAUAUAGGGGAGGGAGUCAUGG